rnacentral:lncRNA from 1 species
UGCAACAAAUCCGUCAACGGCCAAAUGGCAAUAAUCAAAGAGAAGAGUCUAUUUUUUCUUUUCUCCAUCUUCCUUUUAAUUCUAUCGAAGAUUUAGAAGAGCAUGUUGAGCAAUUUUUAAACCAACCAAAUAAUUUCGAAACAUCAGUUAAAGAAGUAUCUCGAGUUGGAGGAAAACAUCCUUAUGAAUUUAUUAAGCGCAAUUGUACUCGUUUAUUGACCAAUGAGCUAGCAGAAAAAUAUAGUUGGCUUGGAGCAAAACAAAAGCGAAAGUUUUGUCAUUUAAAACUCGCUGACUUGUUAAUUAUUUCCGGUCAAGAGAGUAAUUCCGAAUAUACUAAAAAAAUUUUAGAAGAGGCGAUCCAGAAAUGGCUGCGAAGAGCCAAAGAAAGAUUGAAUGCU